GACGAACGCUGGCGGCGUGCUUAACACAUGCAAGUCGAACGGUAAGGCCCCUUCGGGGGUACACGAGUGGCGAACGGGUGAGUAACACGUGGGUGAUCUGCCCUGCACUUCGGGAUAAGCCUGGGAAACUGGGUCUAAUACCGGAUAGGACCACGCUCUGCAUGGAGUGUGGUGGAAAGCUUUUGCGGUGUGGGAUGGGCCCGCGGCCUAUCAGCUUGUUGGUGGGGUGAUGGCCUACCAAGGCGACGACGGGUAGCCGGCCUGAGAGGGUGUCCGGCCACACUGGGACUGAGAUACGGCCCAGACUCCUACGGGAGGCAGCAGUGGGGAAUAUUGCACAAUGGGCGCAAGCCUGAUGCAGCGACGCCGCGUGGGGGAUGACGCCCUUCGGGUUGUAAACCUCUUUCAGUACCGACGAAGCGCAAGUGACGGUAGGUACAGAAGAAGCACCGGCCAACUACGUG
rnacentral:rRNA from 1 species